rnacentral:rRNA from 1 species
UUGAAAGGGAAACGAUUGAAGUCNGUCGUACCAGCGGGAAAUCAACCUUUCGAGUGGUGUUUUGGAGUUUUGAAGUGUGUCAAAACCUUUGAGAUUUUAAAAUUUUCGCUCUUUUGGUGUACUUUCUCGUGGGUAGGUUAACAUCGAUUUUGAUCAUCAUAAAAAGACUGGAGGAAUGUAGCUUCGAUCUUGUAUUGAAGUGUUAUAGCCUUUGGUAAAUGUGAUGAUCGAGAUUGAGGAUUGCAACGGAUACCCUUCGGGGCUACCUGUCUGGUCUCUGAUCGUUGCUCUGGUGCCGAAAGCUUGCUUACGGUUAUCAAAGUCGAUGGUCAAUAGGUUAGAACGGGUUAAAUUCGUUAAGGAUGUUGACGUA